rnacentral:rRNA from 1 species
UACGUAGGGGGCAAGCGUUGUCCGGAAUCAUUGGGCGUAAAGCGCGUGUAGGCGGCUAGGUAAGUCUGUUCUGAAAGUCCAAGGCUCAACCUUGGGAUGCGGAUGGAUACUGCCGAGCUCGAGUCCGGAAGAGGCGAGUGGAAUUCCUGGUGUAGCGGUGAAAUGCGCAGAUAUCAGGAGGAACACCAAUGGCGAAGGCAGCUCGCUGGGACGUGACUGACGCUGAGGAGCGAAAGCCAGGGGAGCAAACGGG